rnacentral:tRNA from 1 species
UCCCGGCUAGCUCAGUCGGUAGAGCGUCAGACUCUUAAUCAAGGGUUUCCAAGCAUAAGCUUGGGUUAAUCUGAAUGUCGUGGGUUCGAGCCCCACGUUGGGAG